AAUGUUGUGAAGAAAACUAAGAAUAACGAAAAAUUGGAGGGCAGGACUGGUGAAAGCAAAAGUGAUAUCGUCAAGUAGACAGAUUACUAAUACCACCUGUUACAUUUUAUGGAAAAUGUGUUCUAAGACAACAUGGAAUGUGUGCAAGCCUUGGAAAUACAUGGUUUCAUGACCACUCUUAGGCUUACAAUCAGAGUACACUUUAUCUCCAGUAAUACACACAUUUAGUUAUUAAGGACCAAGAUUUACUUUCAGGAAUGGUUGAAAUGGUGCUGGUUCAGAAAUGCCCAGUACUGCUUUGAUCUUCAUUGUGCUUCAUUUGAGGAAUCUCUGAAAAAGAUCAUCUUCACUGAAAACAAGCCUUUGGACGUAUUGAAAAAGAUUCCACUCCCCCACCCCCCUCAAAAAUUAUUUGCUAAAUCUGAGGAUUAAGCAACACCAAAACAGUGCCUUGUCUGAGGUGAGGAGUGGUAACUGUAGGAGGAACUGGAUAUGAAAUCACGUAAUUCAGUUGUGCUACACCUGAGGCUUCCACCUGACUUUCCACACGAUGCUUUGAGGCAUGAAGGCUCCCCUCCAUGAGCAACUCCAAACUAUCUGCUCAAAGAUCAUUUCCAGCUUUCCAGAUGACUGAAAUUCUUUAAUGUUCCUGGAGGCCUGAGGACACCGCUGACUCAUGGCAAUUGCUGCCUUUGCACUAUGAAUUAAGAGCCUGUGACUUCAAUGACAGAACUUUUUCUUUGAGAUCUCCUUAAAGACUGAGGAGACAUUGAUUAUGCAGCGCUAUCAGUUCUCCAAGAUACUUUAAAGAUACUCAUCCCUUUUGCUUUCUGAAGAAGUUGCAACUUAGACCUAAUGGUCAGUUUAUGCAGUUGUUAUAUUCCCACCAUAAGAAAAUAGAGCACUGCAACCUGGAUUUUCCACAGUGAAGGAGUCUAAACUAUAGAGCAUAUCUAGUGGAAGGAGAGAAUAUAAAGAUGCUUGUGUUUAAGUGUGCCUUAACUGCAGCAACUUCAAAAGAGCUAAUUUUCAGUGGCAUUGUCUUCUCAAGUGAAACUUGAAGAACUUAAUUAAAACUGAAGAGGCUAUUCUUGCCACUCUUUAUGCAACACAAAUGUGUAACUUUCUAUCCUUACUUCUUUUUGUUCAUCAAAGAGUUUUCAAAAAUAUGUGUAGCUAGAACAGAAAGAGCUGCUCCAUAUCUAUGAAAAGAAAAAUCUGAAGCAAGCAAAAUAUUCAAAUGCUUAGGUGAGAUUCUGACCCCAGUACUCGUAUUAGCGAAGGGUUAUUCACCUUAUUAAAAGUAAUCCCAUGUUCGUGUCACUACCUGCCC